rnacentral:rRNA from 1 species
UGAGGAAUAUUGGUCAAUGGGCGCAAGCCUGAACCAGCCAUCCCGCGUGCAGGAAGACGGCCCUAUGGGUUGUAAACUGCUUUUCCAGGGGGAGAAACUUACGUACGCGUUACGUAACUGACGGUACCCUGGGAAUAAGCAUCGGCUAACUCCGUGCCAGCAGCCGCGGUAAUACGGAGGAUGCAAGCGUUAUCCGGAUUCAUUGGGUUUAAAGGGUGCGUAGGCGGACUAUUAAGUCAGUGGUGAAAUCCUACAGCUCAACUGUAGAACUGCCGUUGAUACUGAUAGUCUUGAGUUUGGUGAAGGUAGGCGGAAUGUGUAAUGUAGCGGUGAAAUGCUUAGAUAUUACACAGAACACCGAUUGCGUAGGCAGCUUACUGAGCCGACACUGACGCUGAGGCACGAAAGCGUGGUGAUCGAACAG